UACGUAGGGAGCAAGCGUUGUUCGGAAUCAUUGGGCGUAAAGCGCGCGUAGGUGGCUUCGUAAGUCCGUUGUGAAAGUCAAAGGCUCAACCUUUGAAAGCCGAUGGAUACUGCGGAGCUAGAGUACGGAAGAGGCGAGUGGAAUUCCUGGUGUAGCGGUGGAAUGCGCAGAUAUCAGGAGGAACACCAAUAGCGAAGGCAGCUCGCUGGGACGUUACUGACACUGAGGCGCGAAAGCGUGGGGAGCGAACAGG
rnacentral:rRNA from 1 species